rnacentral:misc_RNA from 1 species
CAGAGUUGUCGCCCUCGCGGGUAGAUCUCCCACCCACUGUUAUUGCUACCGCGUUGCUUUGGCGGGCUGCUGGGCCUAGCCCGGCCGCCGGCUCCGGCCGGGGCGCGCCCGCCAGAGGACCCCAAACUCUGAAUGUUAGUGUCGUCUGAGUACUAUACAAUAGUUA